CACGMAAGCAGAGAAAUUAUCUGUACCAGAAAAAAAAUAUACAUCAUCACAAUGCUCACCAAGAUAUUUGUUGUCCUCCUCCUGUUUGCUGCUUCUUCAAAUGGACAG